AAUGUAAACAAUCUUCACGCUAUUAAGCACUGUUAAAUUUUGUUGAAAACUUUUAUAUACUUAGUCGAAUUACUUGUCUAUACUAUUAUUAUAAAGAGAUCGCUGUAAAAUCAUAAAAAUACAUGUAAGAUUGUUUAUAUAAUAAGACUUGUAAAAAAAAACAGGAGUUGAAGGAACACGUUGGUUAUUACUAGAGUUUUGAAGAAUAUUUUUACAUGACUGCCCUAAAAAGGCGUAUUACAUUUUAAGCGAUCGUGUCUGGAUAUGAUGGUCGUGAGACCACGCCACUUGUGAAAAUUAAAUAAAAAAGUAAAAACAUAACCUAAAAAUGUUUGUGUAUUUAAUUUCAAUUUGUGAUAAUUAUGUACAAUAAUUUAUUAAAAUAAUAUGAAU